GUACCGCCCUCCAUUGGCCAGGCAGCCAACCAGGGCAACGCGGAAGUGACCUGCAGCCAGCGGUUAGCCAAUGGGCGCCCACUACACCAAACCAGAGGGAAACCCACAGAACCAACGUGCUAACCAACAUCACAGCUGAACCCUUUUAAUUCACGUUCUACAACAAUGUUGAUGUCGUGAGGUCCUUUUACUUGACCUCCCUGACCGCCGUAGCCCAGCGGAGCGUCCCGCCCGGGGCGGUGGAGAUGGCCCACAUGCCGGCCCCCAUGACGUCCCCUAUGAAGGCCCCUAGGUCGUUCCCGAGGUCGGCUCCUAGGACGGCCCCCAGCAGUAAAGUGCGCCCGGUGCUCCCUAGACCAGAGGAGGAGGAGGAGGACGAGGACGAGGAGGCGGAGCUCUGGUUUCCAGAUUGUAAUGAUGAGGAAGAUAAGAAGGGAGGCGGUCCUCUCCAUCCCAGCCUGCCUCACUGUCCACCAAUCAGGGGCACCCCUCAGCGUCCCCAUGGCUACGGUGGCUCCCUGGGCUUCAAGCUGAACGGUGUGCCGGUGGAGCCUCAGGCAGGGGGCCCGGCUGACCUGCUGCUGGUGCACACGGGGGGCCCCUGUGGCUUCACCUCCCUACUGGUCUCCCCCCCCCCCUCCUCUUCCCCUCCUCCUUCUACCCCCUCUCCACUGCUCCUCCAACCAGAGCCCACGCCCAUCAUCACAGGCGUGCUGUGUGGGGAGGCCGCAAAGAGGGUGCUGAGCGACUGUCAGGUCCCAGAGUCAGGCCCCCAGGAUGGGGUCGGUCUUCAGGAAAGCCCCUGGUCCCCAACUGGCCACCAUCAUCCUUUCAAAAAGACCCUGUGUUUAAGGGGCGGCGGCCAGCUCCGCAGACCUCGCCGCUGUUCCCACUGCGGGUCUCCCUUCCUCCUCGUCAGGAAGCUGAGGGGCUUCAUGUGUGCCUGCAGUAAUCAGAUCUCUGAGAGUCUGAAGAUCCACAAGAUCCACGUCCGGCGGUGGUCCUCCACCACCAGGACCCGGUCCUCCACCACCAGGACCCGGUCCUCCACCACCGGGACCCGGUCCUCCACCGGCCCCCCGGACCCCCUGGGCCCCCCGCAGACCGGCCCCCUCAGCCCCCCAAGGUACCAGCCCGGCCCGG
ensembl:lncRNA